rnacentral:tRNA from 2 species
GGGCUGGUGGUCUAGUGGUUAACAUCGCCUUCGGCGCUGUUCGCAUGGUGAUGCCCACAAAUGAUACCGCGCUUACAACGCGGUGGUCGGCGGUUCAAUUCCGCCCCAGCCCA